rnacentral:tRNA from 1 species
UCCCUUGUAGCUCAGUCGGUAAAGAAUCUGCCUGCAGUGCAGGAGACUCGGGUUCGAUCCCUGGGUUGGGAA